GCGGGAUUAGUUCAUCGGUAGAACAUCUGAUUUCCAAUCAGAUAGGACGGGUUCGACUCCCGUAUCCCGCU
rfam:Microgenomates (Roizmanbacteria) bacterium GW2011_GWA2_35_19 TR68_C0027, whole genome shotgun sequence.